UACGUAGGCAGCGAGCGUUGUUCGGAAUUACUGGGCGUAAAGAGUGUGUAGGCGGUGCUCCAAGUCUGGUGUGAAAUCUCCCGGCUCAACUGGGAGGGUGCGCUAGAAACUGGAAUGCUAGAGGAUGGGAGAGGUAAGCGGAAUUCCUGGUGUAGCGGUGAAAUGCGUAGAUAUCAGGAGGAACACCUGUGGUGUAGACAGCUUACUCGACCAUUUCUGACGCUGAGACACGAAAGCGUGGGUAGCAAACAGG
rnacentral:rRNA from 1 species